rnacentral:rRNA from 1 species
CGAAUUUCCCGGGGGUCAGCGUUCCAAAUGCGAUAUAGAUUUUGGAGGGAAUGACCGGUCGGCGAUAGGCGGCCCCCCUGUACAAAGACAUGACGUUUCAGGCUGUGAAAGUCGUGUGGGAGCAAACAGGAUUAGCUAUCCGCUCGUAGUUCCUUCCUGCAAAACGUCGUCUAAUUUUGAGGUGGUGCACCCUGGAAGUGUAGCCUCCCUGAGGCUAGAGCCUUAACGUAGUCCGCCUGGGGGGCAGUACCCGCAGCGUUGUAAACUCAUUUAAAGAUUCGACGGGGCCGCCGCACACGCUGGUGGCGUAUGUGGUUUAAUUUGCGCAACGGGAAGAACCUUACGUGGUCUUGACAUCCACAGAACUUUCCAGAGAUGGAUUGGUGCCUUCGGGAACUGUGAGACAGGUGCUGCAUGGCUGUCGUCAGCUCGUGUUGUGAAAUGUUGGGUUAAGUCCCGCAACGAGCGCAACCCUUAUCCUUUGUUGCCAGCGGUCCGGCCGGGAACUCAAAGGAGACUGCCAGUGAUAAACUGGAGGAAGGUGGGGAUGACGUCAAGUCAUCAUGGCCCUUACGACCAGGGCUACACACGUGCUACAAUGGCGCAUACAAAGAGAAGCGACCUCGCGAGAGCAAGCGGACCUCAUAAAGUGCGUCGUAGUCCGGAUUGGAGUCUGCAACUCGACUCCAUGAAGUCGGAAUCGCUAGUAAUCGUGGAUCAGAAUGCCACGGUGAAUACGUUCCCGGGCCUUGUACACACCGCCCGUCACACCAUGGGAGUGGGUUGCAAAAGAAGUAGU